rnacentral:rRNA from 1 species
UACGGGGGGAGCAAGCGUUGUUCGGAUUUACUGGGCGUAAAGGGCGCGUAGGCGGCCACUGCAAGUCGGUUGUGAAAUCUCCGGGCUUAACCCGGAAAGGUCAACCGAUACUGCAGGGCUAGAGUGCAGAAGGGGCAACUGGAAUUCUCGGUGUAGCGGUGAAAUGCGUAGAUAUCGAGAGGAACACCCGUGGCGAAGGCGGCUCUCUGGACCGGAACUGACGCUGAGGCGCGAAAGCGUGGGGAGCAAACAGG